rnacentral:rRNA from 1 species
AAUGAACGUUGGCGGCGUGGAUUAGGCAUGCAAGUCGUACGGGUCGGUGUAGCAAUACAACGGCAAGUGGCGAAAGGGAGAGUAACACGUAGAUACCUACCCUCUGGUCGGGGAUACCGCGGCAUAACCGCAAGUAAUACCCGAUAAAAUCUCCGGAUCAAAGGUGUGAUUCCGCCGGAGGAGGGGUCUGCGUUCUAUCAGCUUGUUGGUGAGGUAAUGGCUCACCAAGGCUAAGACGGAUACGGGGUGUGAGAGCAUGCCCCCGCUCACUGGGACUGGGACCGUGCCCGGACACCUACGGGUGGCUGCAGUCGAGAAUCUUCGGCAAUGGGCGCAAGCCUGACCGAGCGACGCCGCGUGCGGGAUGAAGGCCUUCGGGUUGUAAACCGCUGUCGAGGGGAAUGAAGUGUAGGGGGGUACUCCCAUCUAUUUGACAGAUCCCUGGAGGAAGCAUGGGCUAAGUUCGUGCCAGCAGCCGCGGUAAUAC